rnacentral:ncRNA from 2 species
AGAUAUUUGCGGGGGGACUCCUUUGAGUUGAGAAGGUAAAACCUGACCCUUUGAACCUGUUAGUUAAGACUGGCGUAGGGAAGCAAAAUUUGUAUGAUU